rnacentral:rRNA from 1 species
AUUGAACGCUGGCGGCAGGCCUAACACAUGCAAGUCGAGCGAGCGGCGGACGGGUGAGUAAUGUCUGGGAAACUGCCUGAUGGAGGGGGAGACCGACUGGAAGCGGUAGCAAAUCCCGCAUACCAUCAGAUGUGCCAAGAUGGGAGUAGCUGGUGGGUGGGGUAACGGCUCACCUAGGCGACGAUCCCUAGCUGGUGUGAGAGGAUGACCAGCAACACUGGAACUGAGACACGGUCCAGACUCCGACGUGAGGCAGCAGUGGGGAAUAUUGCACAAUGGGCGAAAGCCUGAUGCAGCCAUGCCGCGUGUGUGAAGAAGGCCUUCGGGUUGUAAAGCACUUUAAGCGGGGAGGCGUUACCAGCAGAAUAAGCACCGGCUAACUCCGUGCCAGCAGCCGCGGUAAUAC